rnacentral:rRNA from 1 species
AUUGAACGCUGGCGGAAUGCUUUACACAUGCAAGUCGAACGGCAGCACGGGGCAACCUGGUGGCGAGUGGCGAACGGGUGAGUAAUACAUCGGAACGUGCCCAAUCGUGGGGGAUAACGUAGCGAAAGUUACGCUAAUACCGCAUACGAUCUACGGAUGAAAGCGGGGGAUCGCAAGACCUCGCGCGAGUGGAGCGGCCGAUGUCAGAUUAGGUAGUUGGUGGGGUAAAGGCUCACCAAGCCAACGAUCUGUAGCUGGUCUGAGAGGACGACCAGCCACACUGGAACUGAGACACGGUCCAGACUCCUACGGGAGGCAGCAGUGGGGAAUUUUGGACAAUGGGCGCAAGCCUGAUCCAGCCAUUCCGCGUGCAGGAUGAAGGCCUUCGGGUUGUAAACUGCUUUGUACGGUAACGAAACGGCGAGCUCUAAUACAGUUUGCUAAUGACGGUACCGUAACGAAUAAGACACCGGCUAACUACGUGCCAGCAGCCGCGGUAA